rnacentral:rRNA from 1 species
AUGUGGUUUAAUUCGAUGCAACGCGAAAACUUACCUACCCUUGACAUGUCCGGAAUCCCGAAGAGAUUUUGGGAGUGCUCGCAAGAGAACCGGAACACAGGUGCUGCAUGGCUGUCGUCAGCUCGUGUCGUGAGAUGUUGGGUUAAGUCCCGCAACGAGCGCAACCCUUGUCAUUAGUUGCCAUCAUUUGGUUGGGCACUCUAAUGAGACUGCCGGUGACAAACCGGAGGAAGGUGGGGAUGACGUCAAGUCCUCAUGGCCCUUAUGGGUAGGGCUUCACACGUCAUACAAUGGUCGGUACAGAGGGUUGCCAACCCGCGAGGGGGAGCUAAUCCCACAAAGCCGAUCGUAGUCCGGAUCGCAGUCUGCAACUCGACUGCGUGAAGUCGGAAUCGCUAGUAAUCGUGGAUCAGCAUGUCACGGUGAAUACGUUCCCGGGUCUU